rnacentral:rRNA from 1 species
GCGCAGCAGUCGAGAAUUUUUCUCAAUGGGGGAAACCCUGAAGGAGCGACGCCGCGUGGAGGAUGAAGGCUUUCGGGUUGUAAACUCCUGUCAUUUGAGAACAAGUGGCCGAACGUAACUACUUCGGCCUUGAUAGUAUCAGAAGAGGAAGGGACGGCUAACUCUGUGCCAGCAGCCGCGGUAAUACAGAGGUCUCGAGCGUUGUUCGGAUUCAUUGGGCGUAAAGGGUGCGUAGGUGGCGCCGUAAGUCGGGUGUGAAAUUUCGGAGCUUAACUCCGAAACUGCAUUCGAUACUGCGGUGCUUGAGGACUGGAGAGGAGACUGGAAUUUACGGUGUAGCAGUGAAAUGCGUAGAGAUCGUAAGGAAGACCAGUGGCGAAGGCGGGUCUCUGGACAGUUCCUGACACUGAGGCACGAAGGCCAGGGGAGCAAACGGGAUUAGAUACCCCUGUAGU